rnacentral:rRNA from 1 species
GAUGAACGCUGGCGGCGUGCCUAAUACAUGCAAGUCGAGCGAACGGACGAGAAGCUUGCUUUUCUGAUGUUAGCGGCGGACGGGUGAGUAACACGUGGAUAACCUACCUAUAAGACUGGGAUAACUUCGGGAAACCGGAGCUAAUACCGGAUAAUAUUUUGAACCGCAUGGUUCAAAAGUUAAAGACGGUCUUCCUGUCACUUAUAGAUGGAUCCGCGCUGCAUUAGCUAGUUGGUAAGGUAACGGCUUACCAAGGCAACGAUGCAUAGCCGACCUGAGAGGGUGAUCGGCCACACUGGAACUGAGACACGGUCCAGACUCCUACGGGAGGCAGCAGUAGGGAAUAUUCCGCAAUGGGCGCAAGCCUGACGGAGCAACGCCGCGUGAGUGAUGAAGGUCUUCGGAUCGUAAAACUCUGUUAUUAGGGAAGAACAUAUGUGUAAGUAACUGUGCACAUCUUGACGGUACCUAAUCAGAAAGCCACGGCUAACUACGUG